NNNNNNNNNNCUGCGGCUUAAUUUGACUCAACACGGGGAAACUUACCAGGUCCAGACAUAGCAAGGAUUGACAGACUAAGAGCUCUUUCUUGAUUCUAUGGGUGGUGGUGCAUAGCCGUUCUUAGUUGGUGGAGCGAUUUGUCUGGUUAAUUCCUUUAACGAACGAGACCUCAGCCUGCUAACUAGCUAUGCGGAGCCAUCCCUCCGCGGCUAGCUUCUUAGAGGGACUAUCGCCGUUUAGGCGACAGAAGUUUGAGGCAAUAACAGGUCUGUGAUGCCGUUAGAUGUUCUGGGCCGCACGCGCGCUACACUGAUGUAUUCAACGAGUAUAUAGCCUUGGCCGACAGGCCUGGGUAAUCUUGGGAAAUUUCAUCGUGAUGGGGAUAGAUCAUUGCAAUUGUUGGUCUUCAACGAGGAAUGCCUAGUAAGCGCAAGUCAUCAGCUCGCGUUGA
rnacentral:rRNA from 16 species